rnacentral:rRNA from 1 species
GCGUACGGCCAUGCUACCCUGAACAAUCCUGAUCUCAGAAGUUAAGCAGAGUCAGACCUAUUUAAUACUUGGAUGGGAGACCAUUUAGGAAGACCAGGUGCUGUAGGUG